CUUGGAGCCAAAUCCCAGGCCUCUGAGAAGGUGGUGGAGACUCUGGUCACUUGGGACACCGCUAAGAAAACUUUGCUAAGGAAGCCUGCUAAAACGGAGAGAGCAUGUGAAUUCCAGAGGGGGCCGUGAAGGAACAAGUGAGCUGGCCGCCCUGGAGCCCAGCACCCCUGACUUGUGAGUCAUUGCUCUUCCUCCAAAGGCCCGGUAAGUGAUGCAACAAUCAUGGUCUUCUUCAACCCACACCAAGGAAAUCAGA
rnacentral:lncRNA from 1 species